ACGCAGCAGCCGGGCAUCCAGGAAUCACGGCGCGCACAACAAACAAGUUUCUCCAGGAAAAAACACGCUAGUUUCUCAGAAAAAAACAAGCAGCACCUAGCGGCCGCCGCCCGCCGCCCGCCGCCGGACCGUCACACAGGGCACAGCAGCCGCCGGACCCUGCUGCGCGGCCACUGGCCAGCGGCACAAAUCGCCCUUCGCUCACGGACGACCAUCCCACCGGCACUCAUCAGCACGAUGACGGCGAGUCGGCCGACCCACGACCCCAUGCCACGCGGCCACGCAACCACACGCAGCUAGCAGCAGCAAGACGGCGACGCAGCUCCUAAUCUGAAUCUGAUCCUCUCCAACUUUUCUUGAAUCCCUUAAGCUGCACAUGUAACUUUCUUUGGUUCAUUCCCAAGUUCUUUCAUUUAGGUUAUUGUCUAUUCAUAUGUGGACUGUGGUGGCAUAAAUAAACCACUGAAAAUCUUAUUUUUUACAUUUUAUCCAAAACCAUUGUUGUUUAUAGUUUAUGCAAAUACAAUGUUCUGUACAAUUUGACAAAAGAUUUCAAUUUGGAAGUAUAAAUAAUUCACUCAAUUCAUCUGUGGUUUGAUAUCUCCAAGCUUUUGUAUUGGCGAACUAAAAUAGUCCAAUGGGGAAACUGUAUUUUGGUAUAGCUUCUUUUGUUUAUAUCAACUCACUUGAUCUUGUAACGAAUGGGAACAGAGGUUACUUAUUAAUGACAACAAUCCAGAAUUUGAUAAAUUUCGCGUUCUUAUUUAGCUUGGCCCGACCAACAAUUUGUUUGUAGCUCCG
rnacentral:lncRNA from 1 species